rnacentral:lncRNA from 1 species
CGAAACUCUUGAUCUUCUUGAAGAGCUUGGCGUAAAGAUAAAUAAAAACAUGUUGUGACGUAAUGCGGAAGUGAUAUCGGUUGCUUGAAAAAUGGAUUUUUGUCAAAUUACAGUGAACAGGUUAUUGUGAGAUAGUCUGAUUACUUUGGAGCUGCCAGAUUGUGUAUGAAAUCCUGAAAAAAGUAUUUCAACAACUUUUUCAUGAACUACAGAAACUUCACCUUACCAAAUUGUAGGACCAGACAUUGUGAGAAAGUUUGAUUGCAUUCAAGAGCUGCCAGAGCUAAAGCUAGAAAAGAAACUAAACAACUUCUUCUCAUGAUCUGCUUAAUUGAUUUUCACAUUGAAUUGUGUGAGUUAUGAAUUUUGUUUCAAAGGGUAUCAUAAAUUCUCUUUCUGAUUAAUCCGCAAGAACCGGUUGAAAACUUAAAUAUUGAACAUUCCUUUAAUUAACAUUAUAGGUCAUUUGAUCAUAUAGCUCUUUUUUCAUUUACAAGUUAAUGAAGCUUACAUUAAAAA